rnacentral:lncRNA from 1 species
GGCGGCGUUAGCAUAGUUCUUAAAAGCUUUAAAUUUUACUUGGUAUAUGGAUACCUCAUGUUACAAAGUUUUCGUCAGUCACAUGUCCAGUGUCCUUGACCUCAUUUUCAUGGUUCAGUGACUACUUGAAAAAAAAGUUACGAUUUUUUGUAAUGUUAAAUUCUCCCUUAUUAUCAGGGAUGUCAACGAGUACUCGAGUAUUGCUCG